GGCUGGGGGUGGAAUUUAGACCCAGACAGGAUUUAGACACAGAACUUAGACACACAGAAGAAAAGAGGACACAAAGAGACACCCUCCUGCAAGAGGGGCAGAGAGAUCUCAGAAAGAAGCUAAUGCUGACCCUGGAAAUCAGCAACCCUAAGCAAGCUAACUGUCAGGCCUGUGCCUUUUCAUACAUCUGCAAAGACUCCAAUUAGGAAUAAAGAAAUAAACAAAAGCUAUUCAGAACUAAAAGUAUAAUAGAGCAAUGGUCUACCCCCUUUCCUAAGCUGACACUCUCCUAUUCUAGCUGCCAGAUUUCCUGGGUGGCUCCAACCUGUUGUGAGGAGAAGGAAAGGGAAGCCACUUCAGGUUGUUACCAUGGAAACUGCACGAGUGUGGGAGGAAGGACCAGAGAAAGAAAAACACAGAAACCCACCAUGUCCAAGCUCUAAGAUACUCCUGGGCUUGAUGGUCUCAAACCUCAUCUAGUACAUGGUAGAUGUUCAAUAAAUAUUUAUGGGGCAAAUUAACGACAUUGUGCAGUGUUUGUUUAACGGUUCCCAAAACAUAAAAUCAUGUUACCUGGGGUUAUAGGUUUUCCUGAGUGCUAGAAUUAGGCUCUACUUAUACAAUGCAUGAAAAUCGUUUAUAAAAAUCUUGUUUCAAGGCUUCGUUAAGAAUGUGUGUGAGUGUGUGUGUGUGUAUGUGUGUGUGCAUGCACUCAUGUUCACGAACACAUGCUUGAGCAUGCUAAAGCAUACAUGUGGAAGACAGGACAGCUUGCUGAAGUCAGCCCUCUCCCUCUACCAUGAAGAUCCUGGGUUUCAUACUCAUGUGAUCAUGGGAGCACGUGUGUUACCAGCUGAGCCAUCUUGGCAGCCUACGCUCUGCCUUUGCACAUGGGUUCUGGGAUCUAAAGCCCAGUCUUCACAAUUAAAUAAUAAGCAGUUUUUCUCUAAGUCGCAUCCGCAGCUCUUUGGUUUUGUUAAGAUGGGGUCUCUCGCUGGCAUUGAACUGACCGACUAGACUAGACUGCCUGGACAGUGGUCCUCAAGGAUGCCUCGGAUUCUACCUCCCAGUGCUAAAAUCCUACGAGUAUACUACCACAUUCAGCUUCUUUUACAACAUGGGUUCUGAGGAUUGAACAUGUUAUUGACUGCACUAUCACCAAGAUCAUUUAUUAACACACACACACACACACACACACACACACACACAUACACACACACACACAAGCCUGUUGUUCCAUAACUCAAAAGGCUCAGGGAGGAAGAUCGUGAGUUUGAAGCAAUUCUGGGCUAAUUGUUUCAGGUCAGCAUGGGCUGCACAUAGUGAGACCCUCUAUCAGUGUUCUUCCUUUUGUUGAACAUUUGUUAUCAAAAUGAGGCCAAGUGACACACACUUGUGAUCUGAGCACUCCAAAGGUAGAGGCAAGAGGAUCACAAGUUGAAAGCUAUAUAUCGAAUAUAAGAUUGCUCUAGACUAUGUGAGAUCCUGGAGUUUGUUUGUUUGUUUUAACAGAAACUAAAAAGCCCCAAACUGCAAACUAUGCAGCCACUGACAUUGCUGGAGACCCUAGCCAACAAAUCUCUCUGCUUCCAUUUAACUCUGUUCACCGAUUUUACUUUGGCUAUGUUCCUGUCAGUGUCUGAACCUGCCUGCUUUGGUCUCCAAGGUGGCUCCCUCAGUCCCUCAAGAGUGUCUUAGGUGGGGUUCAUUUCUGUGCUAUCGGGACCUGAGGAGUCCUGCCUUAUUACCAACAUUCACAAUACAUGAUUCAAGCGAAUAUGGAAAGAAUAAAUGCUUAUUUCGAGUACACCCGUGUCCUUUGACUCUGCAAUAUUCCUUCCAGAAUAUAUCCUGCAGGCACAUCAAACUAAAUACCUGGUACAAUAUGCAUGAGCGCACCUCUCUGGUUCUUCUGAAACCCCAGGGAAAGGGAUGAAGACGACUUUAUUGUUCAUGGAAGGCUCUCUGUUCAUUAAAUCCCCAUGUCCUCACACUGUGGAGGAUUUUGCCAUAAUAAAAAGAAAAUGAGCAAAUUUUAAACCUAUCAGGGGACAAUGCCCAAGAUGAAUUGUUGCAUGAAGAAAGACAGGUGACAAGUAAUAUAGGCUGCUGUUUUGCAUAAUGUAUAUGAGAAUAUAAUUGUGCAAAAUAGGAUACAUCUAACAACGUAUGCAUAAUAGAUUAUACAUAACGACCUGUGUGUGAUUAUGCAUAACAGCCUGUUCAUAAUGUGUGUGAAUAAUUUUUACAUAAAUGCAUAUGUAAAAUUUAUCUCGGGGCAAUACACGUAACAUCGGAGAUAUGGAAAUCACCACAGGAAGGGAGAUAUGAAACGCCAAAGCUCGGAGGUGAGAAAGGGAUCCCUUCUUCUGUGUCUUCCUCACUCUCAUGCGAUCCUGAAAGUUCACAAAUGACGAUCAACUAACUAUUGAUGACUGUUUGUCUAACAAAGUCAGAAUUUCGCUUCAGAGAAGUCAACAACCACUGAUAAGAUGCCUUACGAUUUCAAUUCACGGAGGAAAACCAUAAGCAAAAGUCAAGCGGUGAACAUCAAGGACCAGUCACAAAGUGAAAAUUUUAAAUUCCAGUUACAAGCCAGGUGAUGCUCCACACCUUUAAUCCUAGCACUCAGAGGCAGAGAUGGGGGGAAUCUCUGAAUUCAAGACCAGCCUGCUCUACAGAGCAAGUUCCAGGACAGCCAGAGUUACACAGAGAAAUCUGUCUUGAAAAAAAUAAACC
rnacentral:lncRNA from 1 species